GCUUCUGGUGUUCUGCCAUCCUCAAGUGCUUUGUCUUUCCUACUUCAGUCAGACACCUGGACACUCUAAUGGAAGAAUUCACAUGAUUAUCUGUGCUUUCAAAGAAAAAUUAAGCACUUAAAGAUUGUUUUCACAAUUUCAGAGUUUAAAUCCAUUAUCAUCACCGCAGGAAGUAUGUCAGCCUGCAGGCAGACAUGGUGCUGGAGGACCCAAGGAUUCUACAUCUUGAUUUGAGGCAGCCAGAAGAAAACUCUUUCCUCACUGGGCAGAGCUUGAUCAUAGGACCUCAAAGCCCACGUCCACAGUGAUGAAGUUCCUCCAACAAGGCCACUCCUCCUAAUAUUGCCAAUUCCCAGUGGCCAGUAUAUAUUCAAGCCAUCACAAGUGUUUACUACUUUAAAAUUUGAUGUCCACCUCAUAACCUGACUCUCGGAUGCACGGCAUGAUGAGUC
rnacentral:lncRNA from 1 species